GGGGGCAUAGCUCAGCUGGGAGAGCAACAGACUGAAGUCGCUUGGCAACCUUCUGGAGGUCCCCGGUUCAAUCCCGGGUGCCCCCA